AAAUCAUAUGUAAAAGAAUUUUCAAUGUUUAAUAUAAUAUGUAAAAUAAUUUUCUUAUAUUGGAAUUGAUAGAUGGUUGAGGGCGCCUUCGUGAAACGUGGGAGACAAGUGAUAACAUUAUCGUUCAAAAAAAUCAGGAGCAAGUAUUUAUGUGAAAGGCCAUAUUAUUUGGCCAUUUGACCUUAUGUAUUAUUGAAUUAUUUAGUUGGAAAUGAUAAACUACACAUUAUUGUCUGCUUGAGUUGUGAUCUUGAUUAUGGGCUAUUUGGUAUUUUGCCUACAAACUGUAUAGUUAAUUAUCUGUUAGAUUUUGUUUUCAUGUCACAACUUUAUGUUUCUGUGGCUAAUUGUAGCCAAAAGUUUUAUUUAUCGAUCUUAUUUUUCACAUUCAAGAAAAUUCAUCGUAGAGAUCCGUAAGUUUUUUCCUUUGGAGCUGUGAUACUAACCUGUUUGAAUAAAGGAAUCUGACUUGGUCUUUUCCUCUUUAGCAUUAUGGAUUAGGUCUUUCUCUUUACCAUAUUUCGUGGAUGAAGUUUAAGAAGUAAUCAAAAUAUAAAGGUUAAUGCUAACUGCUAAGCUUAUUUCGAAGAUGAAAGAUACUUUUAUCCACUCCCCAAAGAAUAUCAUUACUAUUUAUGUUGUAUUUCUGCUAACUAAUUCUUGCAUAGCAUCUAGUUUGAUAAUUAAAGUAAAGUUUCUGACAUGGAGGUUUUCAAGUUGUAAUAUAUAUUUAUGUUUUAGGUAGAUUCCCAAACUUUGAAGAAACAUUGCAGUACUGAGGUAAAUGAACGUUGUAUGACAGAGCAUCGGGCUUACCGAAGCCAAGGUAUCUUCUUCGAUAACAAGGUUCAUAAUUGCAUUACUUGUGCUACAAGCACUCGUAAACACACCCCUUGUGCUUUGGCUAUUGUUUGAGAUUCUGCACAUUUCAGAUGUUGAGGUACGAGAGACCAAGAUGAUGGGAAGCACUCCCAUUAUCAUUGUAGCUUUCCAAACGCAACAGGUUUACUGUGUACGUGAUGCAAAUGGAUCAAUUAGAGAAGGCGGUAAGAAGACAUGCAUCAAAAACCAAGGAGAGAGUAAAGAUCGUGCAAAACUAUAAGCAAGAAGAGGAAAAGGGAGCAUGCGAUCUUUUUAUAUUUUCUCUUCUAUAUGGUACUAUUUAAGAAAAGAUAAAUUCAAGAGAUAAGAAUAUGUAAA